rnacentral:rRNA from 1 species
ACGGCUCAGUAACACGUGGCUAACCUGCCCUUGGGACUGGAUCACCCCCGGGAAACUGGGGCUAAUCCCCGAUAGGUGAAGAACUCUGGAAUGAGUCUUUGCUCAAAGGGCGCCAGAUCAUGCUUCUGGUGUCGCCCAAGGAUGGGGCCGCGACCGAUCAGGUUGUUGGUGAGGUAAUGGCCCACCAAGCCUAUAACCGGUGCGGGCCGUGAGAGCGGGAGCCCGGAGAUGGGCACUGAGACAAGGGCCCAGGUCCUACGGGGCGCAGCAGUCGCGAAAACUUUGCAAUACACGAAAGUGUGACAGGGUUAUCCCGAGUGCCGACCGCUGAGGAUGGCUUUUACCCAGUCUAGAAAGCUGGGGGAAUAAGGAGAGGGCAAGUCUGGUGUCAGCCGCCGCGGUAAUACCAGCUCUCCGAGUGGUGUGGACGUUUAUUGGGCCUAAAGCAUCCGUAGCUGGCUGAACAAGUCCCCUGUUAAACCCACCGAUUUAAUCGUUGGCGUGCGGGGGAUACUGCUCGGCUAGGGGACGAGAGAGGCAGACGGUAUUCCCGGGGUAGGGGUGAAAUCCUAUAAUCCCGAGAAGACCACCAGUGGCGAAGGCUGUCUGCUAGAACGCGCCCGACGGUGAGGGAUGAAAGCUGGGGGAGCGAACCGGAUUAGAUACCCGGGUAGUCCCAGCUGUAAACGAUGCAGACUAGGUGUUUGGACGGCCACGUGCCGUUCUAGUGCCGCAGGGAAGCUGUUAAGUCUGCCGCCUGGGGAGUACGAUCGCAAGAUUGAAACUUAAAGGAAUUGGCGGGGGAGCAC